UGAGUGCGAGCUUCUACGGAAGCGAAGUUGGUGACGUCAAGCUUCCAAGAAAAGCCCUAUACCCGUUAAGGCAUGAUUACCUGUACCCGAAACCGACACAGGUGGGGUGGUAGAGAAUACCGAGGGGCGCGAGGUAACUCUCUCUAAGGAACUCGGCAAAAUGACCCCGUAACUUCGGGAGAAGGGGUGCCAGCGCGAGCUGGUCGCAGUGAAUAGGCCCAGGCGACUGUUUACCAAAAACACAGGUCUCCGCUAAGUCGCAAGACGAUGUAUGGGGGCUGACGCCUGCCCAGUGCCGGAAGGUUAAAAAGUUGGUCAGCGCAAGCGAAGCUAACGACUGAAGCCCCGGUGAACGGCGGCCGUAACAAUAACGGUCCUAAGGUAGCGAAAUUCCUUGUCGGGUAAGUUCCGACCCGCACGAAAGGCGUAACGAUCUGGGCGCUGUCUCGGAGAGAGGCUCGGCGAAAUAGAAUUGUCUGUGAAGAUGCGGACUACGUGCACCCGGACAGAAAGACCCUAUGAAGCUUUACUGUAGCUUGGUAUUGUGCUCGGGCUCGCAAUGCGCAGGAUAGGUGGGAGGCUUUGAUCCAUUGCUUGUGGGUGAUGGUGAGCCACUGGUGAGAUACCACUCUUUGCGAGCUAGGGUUCUAACGGUUACCCGUCAUCCGGGAACCGGACAGUAUCUGGUGGGCAGUUUGACUGGGGCGGUCGCCUCCUAAAAGGUAACGGAGGCGCGCAAAGGUUUGCUCAGGCUGGUUGGAAAUCAGCCGACGAGUGUAAAAGCAGAAGCAAGCUUGACUGUGAGACCUACAAGUCGAACAGGGAGGAAACUCGGCUUUAGUGAUCCGACGGUUCUGAGUGGAAGGGCCGUCGCUCAACGGAUAAAAGUUACUCUAGGAUAACAGGCUGAUCUCCCCCAAGAGUUCACAUCGACGGGGAGGUUUGGCACCUCGAUGUCGGCUCAUCGCAACCUGGGGCUGAAGUCGGUCCCAAGGGUUGUGCUGUUCGCCCAUUAAAGCGGUACGCGAGCUGGGUUCAGAACGUCGUGAGACAGUUCGGUCCAUAUCCGGUGCAUGCGCAGGAAUAUUGAGAGGAUUUCUCCCUAGUACGAGAGGACCGGGAGGAACGCACCUCUGGUGUACCAGUUAUCGUGCCAACGGUAAACGCUGGGUAGCCAUGUGCGGAGUGGAUAACCGCUGAAAGCAUCUAAGUGGGAAGCCCACCUCAAGAUGAGUAUUCCCAUGGCUUAAGCCAGUAAGGUCACGGGAAGAACACCCGUUGAUAGGCUCUAUGUGGAAGCGCAGUAAUGCGUGAAGCAGAGGAGUACUAAUAGACCGAGGGCUUGACC
rnacentral:rRNA from 1 species